rnacentral:miRNA from 1 species
AGUAAUACCUUUCGAACACAUGA